rnacentral:lncRNA from 1 species
ACACAUGGAAAACAUCAGGAAAAGAAUCCAAGAGUUGCUUCAUGCAGAAAGACUCUUCGAAGAAUUUUUAUUAUUUUUUCGAUGUAUCGCGAGCCUUCUUUGGGUGGCAUUUUUCUCCACCCUUGAUCAAUGCACAUUGGCCAUCCAAGGGCCCACAAAGGAGGCAUUAACCUGAAGAUGGCAUGGAGAAAAAUCAUAUAUGGGGGC